rnacentral:piRNA from 1 species
GGUAAUGGGACUACGCGGU